rnacentral:tRNA from 2 species
GGGGACGUAGCUCAGUUGGGAGAGCGCGGGCUUUGCAAGCCUGAGGUCGUGGGUUCGAUCCCCAUCGUCUCCA